rnacentral:rRNA from 1 species
AUUAGCGGUCAUAGCGAAGGGGAAACACCUGGUCUCAUUCCGAACCCAGAAGUUAAGCCUUUCAGCGAAUGAUUUUGCACUGAGUUUCUACUUGGAGCGAGUCGAACGCUGCUAAUC